rfam:Triticum aestivum genome assembly, contig: Triticum_aestivum_CS42_TGACv1_scaffold_513662_6BS
AACAUACUCCCUCCGUCCGAAAAUACUUGUCAUCAAAAUGAAUAAAAAAAAAUGUAUCUACAACUAAAAUACGUCUAGAUACAUUUCCUUUUAUCCAUUUUGAUGACAAGUAUUUCCAGACGGAGGGAGUACUAA